rnacentral:rRNA from 1 species
GAGUUUGAUCCUGGCUCAGAACGAACGCUGGCGGCAGGCUUAACACAUGCAAGUCGAGCGCCCCGCAAGGGGAGCGGCAGACGGGUGAGUAACGCGUGGGAAUCUACCCAUCUCUACGGAAUAACUCAGGGAAACUUGUGCUAAUACCGUAUACGCCCUUAGGGGGAAAGAUUUAUCGGAGAUGGAUGAGCCCGCGUUGGAUUAGCUAGUUGGUGGGGUAAAGGCCUACCAAGGCGACGAUCCAUAGCUGGUCUGAGAGGAUGAUCAGCCACAUUGGGACUGAGACACGGCCCAAACUCCUACGGGAGGCAGCAGUGGGGAAUAUUGGACAAUGGGCGCAAGCCUGAUCCAGCCAUGCCGCGUGAGUGAUGAAGGCCUUAGGGUUGUAAAGCUCUUUCACCGGAGAAGAUAAUGACGGUAUCCGGAGAAGAAGCCCCGGCUAA